rnacentral:rRNA from 1 species
AUGAUGAGUGCAGAUGCUGAAGUAAAUAUGGUCAAGGAAGCUGUGCUUCAAACUGAUAUGCCAACAGUAGUGAGCAGAGAGCCAACCAAUGUCAGAGAAGUUCAACAGAUCAAGGGGAAGACUCCCCUUUCAAAAGUCCCACCAAAACCACCUAAGCAGAAGAUUGUCAAGUUUGCCAGGGGCGCAAAGGGGAAAUAUGCCACAAAAGAUUUGGGGUUCAGAGACGAGAGAGAGCUGCGAGCCGCAUCCAUUGAUGCAGGGGUGCCAAGUUCUGCUAGGUUGCUGCCAACUCAGACUGGAAAGAUGCCAACUACAGAUACCAGUGUGCCAACUGAUGUGUCAGUUAGCAGCAUGGUCACAGUUAAAACCACCACAGCUGGUCAGAAAGGCACCACUGCAACUGCAAGUCCCAAGGUGCCUACUGAUAGAGAUGCUUCAAUGCCAAACACAAAAGGAGGUGAUCCAACUAUCAAAGUGCCAUCCCCAAGAGCUGACUUUCAGCAACCAUUAACACAAGAGGAGGUGUUCGACAUUAUAAGUAGGUGCAAACCUUCAAGGCCGCCAAGUACAACACUAUUGGGAACCAAGUCAGUGAAUGAUGCACCCGUGUUUGUGCCGCAAGGAGAUGCCCUGGUCCUUGAACCCUUACGAAGAUCAAACUCUUAUCAUGGUGACGGGUUCUGCGAUGCACCAUCUUUUGACCUCGGCAUAGAUGGUGAUGCUCCAGCACCUGCUCCAGCAGCAGAAACAGCGGAAGCCGGUAUGAUCAGCAUCGAUGAGUGUGAGUUGGACCCAGCAGCUGUGAAUGAAGGAUGUGAUGCUGCUGAUGCUGGCAAGGCAAUAGCUCAAGAACUAGAUGUUGGUUCACUAGAGAAUUGCCACACCCCGAUAUGCGCAGAACCAAAACUUGGCACGAGCAGUUCUUCGGGGCCACCUCUUGCACGAAGACAGAGGAGGGUAAGAAGGCCCGCAACAUCUCAAAGGUCUCCAUUCAUUGACUACAACAAGAAGAAGACUUUCAGCACCAAUGAGGUAGUGAACAAGCUUUACGCUACCCUCUUGUAUUGGGUCAGGCAUCACAAAGGAGCAGAUGAUGGAGCUACCAGCCCUGAGAUAAUCAGGUAUGGUGCUUUCUACAUUUCUUUAAAGGAGUUAGUUGAUUCAAUGAAGCCGGUUCAAUGGUUGUCAAAAAUUGUUAUUGAGACUGAAAUCUUACACAUUAUGGAUAACUUACCAGAAGGGUCAAAGAAGGUUGUUAUGCCACUGAGGUUUUCUAUAAAAUUACAGCAAGGGAUGCACAAUGUGAAUGAGAUAAACAAGAAGUUUGAUUACAAGAACCGUCUCGACAAGAAAGACUUGGUCAUGCUGCCAGUGCUCGAGUGUGCAGAUGUAACCGAUAAGGACGGAGGGAGGCAUUAUUGGGUCUUCAGUGUCAACUUGAGGGACGGACGCUUCGAAGUUCUUGAUUCAAGCAGGACGCUAGACAACAUUGAGCUGAUGAACACCGCCUCUACCAUUGCGGGGGCAGUACGCCAGCUAUGA